rnacentral:rRNA from 1 species
UACAGAGGUGGCAAGCGUUGUUCGGAAUUACUGGGCGUAAAGGGCGCGUAGGCGGCCUUCUAAGUCGGACGUGAAAUCCCCAGGCUUAACUUGGGAACUGCGUCCGAUACUGGAGGGCUUGAGUGCGGGAGAGGGAUGUGGAAUUCCAGGUGUAGCGGUGAAAUGCGUAGAUAUCUGGAGGAACACCGGUGGCGAAGGCGGCAUCCUGGACCGAGAUUGACGCUGAGGCGCGAAAGCCAGGGGAGCAAACGGG